rnacentral:rRNA from 1 species
CCUACGGGUGGCAGCAGUAGGGAAUAUUGCUCAAUGGGGGAAACCCUGAAGCAGCAACGCCGCGUGGAGGAUGAAGGUUUUCGGAUUGUAAACUCCUUUUGUUAGAGAAGCUAAUGCUGGUAUCUAACGAAUAAGCACCGGCUAACUCCGUGCCAGCAGCCGUGGUAACACGGAGGGUGCAAGCGUGACUCGGAAUCACUGGGCGUAAAGGGCGCGUAGGCGGGAUAGCAAGUCAGGUGUGAAAUCCUAUGGCUUAACCAUAGAACUGCAUUUGAAACUGUUAGUCUAGAGUAUAGGAGAGGUAGGUGGAAUGCUUGGUGUAGGGGUAAAAUCCGUAGAGAUCAAGAGGAAUACUCAUUGCGAAGGCGACAUGCCAGAACAUAACUGACGCUGAUGCGCGAAAGCGUGGGGAGCGAACAGGAUUAGAUACCCUUGUAGUC